GACGAACGCUGGCGGCGUGCUUAACACAUGCAAGUCGAACGAUGAUGCUCCAGCUUUGUUGGGGUGGAUUAGUGGCGAACGGGUGAGUAACACGUGAGUAACCUGCCCUCUUCUUUGGGAUAACGGUCGGAAACGGCUGCUAAUACUGGAUAUUCACUCAUUGGCGCAUGUUGGUGGGUGGAAAGGUUUUUUCUGGUGGGGGAUGGGCUCGCGGCCUAUCAGCUUGUUGGUGGGGUGAUGGCCUACCAAGGCUUUGACGGGUAACCGGCCUGAGAGGGUGACCGGUCACAUUGGGACUGAGAUACGGCCCAGACUCCUACGGGAGGCAGCAGUGGGGAAUUUUGCACAAUGGGCGCAAGCCUGAUGCAGCGACGCCGCGUGAGGGAUGAAGGCCUUCGGGUUGUAAACCUUUUUCGCUCAUGGUCAAGCCGCAGCUUUGGGUUGUGGUGAGGGUAGUGGGUAAAGAAGCGCCGGCUAACUACGUGCCAGCAGCCGCGGUAAUACGUAGGGCGCGAGCGUUGUCCGGAAUUAUUGGGCGUAAAGGGCUUGUAGGCGGUUGGCCGCGUCUGCCGUGAAAUCCUCUGGCUUAACUGGGGGCGUGCGGUGGGUACGGGUUGACUUGAGUGCGGUAGGGGAGACUGGAAUUCCUGGUGUAGCGGUGGAAUGCGCAGAUAUCAGGAGGAACACCGGUGGCGAAGGCGGGUCUCUGGGCCGUUACUGACGCUGAGGAGCGAAAACGUGGGGAGCGAACAGG
rnacentral:rRNA from 1 species